UCCCUGGUAAUCCAAUGGUUAGGUUAGAACUUUGCACUUUUACUUCAGGGACCUGGGUUUGAUUCCCGGUCAGGGAA
rfam:Ovis aries breed Texel chromosome 11, whole genome shotgun sequence.